ensembl:lncRNA
GGUCUUUGAUAAAUUCUAAAAGUUAUAGUUGUGAAAGCUAUUUUCAUAAUAUUUAUACGUGUAAAGUAGUGUAAAAUUUAAUAUAUGACCUCUGCAGAGAUCUAAUGAUUUAAAUGAUAUCACAGUAGGCUUUAAAUAAAGUAAAACUUUCAAAACAGGAUUUUUUAAAUUUAUGACUCCCAUCCCUUCAAACUUAAAAUAUUUAUAAAGUAUUUUCUGUGCAUUUGAUAAAUUAGAGAAAGAAAUUAUUUGGUGUGCUGUAACAUAUACCAAACAAAAUAUCACUAUCCUCAUAUUUUCAGGCUAAGAAAUGUUGGACAGUAGCUUGUAAAAAGAACAAAAUUAGUUUGAAAGAAAGGGUCAUUUUGAGAAUGUGAGGUCAUUAAGAAGCCCAUCUGAAAAGGGUAAGUGAUGGAUUAUAUUGUUGUUACGUAGGUGACAAAGUUGGAAGUUGAUAAUGUGAAGAUGAGAAGAAGUAAGAUGAAGGCAAGAGGUAACACUGUUUAUUUAAAAUGUAACAUUGGAAACUCUAAACUGAUAGAUAAAUCAAUGUGAAAACAUUCUUCCCAAGAAUAUAAAGUUAGAACAAGAGGCUUUUCUGAGAGGAAAUGCCAAUAGUUCUGCCAGAUAAUAAAACCUUCUGUUAAAUUUCACUCCAUUUACACACACUUAUAUCUGAGGUUUCUAGACAAAGCACAUUUAUAAGAAAAUUCAUAAAAUAAUUAUUUUCUAUAAAAAAUAGGUAGAUUGGUAAGAUAUUGGAUAUUUAAAACCUUUGAAGUAAAAUUCAACUUCAUCCGUUAAGUUGUCUAUUUCCAAGAAGCUGAAAGCAAAAAAAACAUUAUCCAGAGCAGUAUUCUUCCCAUAUCUCUAUGAGGGAGUGAAAUACUGUGUUUAAUCUAUGCAUAAGCUCAGUAAGUUACAAAAUUACUUUGUAAAAUGUAUCAACAUCUGACCUAAUACUGUAGAGAUUACCUCACUCAGCCACUAAACCAUUUGUUUUAAAUAUGCGAUAGUCGCUUCAGGAAGUCCAUAGGAUUUCUAUUGUAUUUUAUCUAUGAGAAAAAUUCAACUUGCAGGGCAUUAAUGAAUAGCUUGUGUAUGCUUCUUAACAAUUGUUAUAAUACCAGCCUAUUUCCUCCUGUUAGGUGUUGUCUCUUGUCUUUUUCAUUUGCUUUAUAGUUAUAAGCAGGAGAGAUUGGUAGAAGCCAAUAUUCCUUGCAAAUCUGGAUAAUACAUGCAAAUUGCUUGAGGAACACUAUUUUAAACCAAGCUGGGCCUGCUUAAUCAAGUGAGUAGUAAAGAGCUGGUAACUAGCUGGAAAACAGCCUGUAAAUGAGUCAAAUUAAAUUAUUUACAUUGUCCUUUUCAUAUUGCUUCCAUAAUUUGACUAGCAGUGUGGUGCUGAGCGAAAUGUGAGGGUUUUAGAUUUAGAAAAUCUUGAGCUUAAAAGUAGGCAAAUUAGCCUUUAUGAGCCUCAAUGUUUUCAACUGUGAAAUGGGGAUGCGAAGACCUUGUUCACGGCUGGUUUCAAGCAGAUUCAGUGAGCUCUCGGGUGUACAGUGCUUGGCACACCAAAUGUGCUUGCACACCAGCAGUGGACAUUACUAUCUUUUUAAUCUGGAUCAUUCAAGAUAAAGCCGAGGCAUGAGAUUUUGGUUGUAUAUCUCUGCCUGUCUUUGUAAUCCUGGAAGCUAAGCAUCUUCAUAAAAUACUAACUAUCCCCAAAACCUAGGCCAUAAAAUGUGGAUUUAUUUUAUGUAGGAUUCCUUUCUUUUUUAUGUAGUCAACCAUGAAAGUGAAAAGUGCUUUGAUGACCUUUUCCCAUUUAAUUCCUCAGAUGUGGAAACCAAAAAGAUUCACAACCACAUUAUGCUAAUGAUCACAGUUUCAAAAUGUCCUCGAACCACAAUAAAUAACCUAUGAUGUCCAUAACCAUUUUGUGACUCAUCGUUCAUAACCAAAGGUCUUUCCUGACAUUUAUAUACUAUGUUAAACCACCCAUAUCUGUGCAAAAAGAAAAAAAAGGCAUCAGCCGGUAUGUUUUAAACUAAUCAGAGCAAGGCCCUUCAAGCUUAUGACCCAAAGCAUGUCAGAAGACUCAGUUCUUAGCACAGGCUGUUAUUCAGUUAUGGAGAAGCCAGCCUAUUAUUGCACAUUAAUUAAGUGUAAAAUUAUGAACUGUCUCUAUAUAGCUGUAUUCUGACACUGCAAGUGAUAUUAGUUGAAGUAUUAUUUUUAUAUGCUUUAACAACUUAAUAUAUUUAAGGGUGGCAUAAACGUCUCGACUAUCUUUUAUUCUGAGAGACACUGUCAUGUAAUUGCACUCGGUGGUUUAUGAGCUCUAAUCACCUGACACUUUCACCUUCUUAUCAGUCUCGCAGUGUAAGCAUCCAUGAGGAGAAAGUGCACCCUCGGCCCCCACGGAGGCAGGAGAGGGCACAACCUCCAUGUGAGCCCUCUGUCACGAGAGAGGAGAGGCAGCUGUGCAGGGCAGGCGCUGGAAGGGCAGGAAUUGCAUUCCAACGUGAUGGUUUUAGGCUUUUAGUUCUUAAAGUUACGUGAUCUUUUGAAUUCAUUAUUAAAAUACAAAUAGCUGGGAGAAGGCUAACACCUUAAUCCAUUAUCAGACCAUAACUGGAGUUGUCAUUUGAGCACCAGGCUGAUCAGAAAUACGCACCACCAAAAAGAGUGGGGCAUUAUUGGAGAAAAGCGAGAGUAAGCCAGAAAUAUUCCAACAACUUCUCGAGCUGGUUUCUAUUCAAAUUUGUUCCAAUGCUACCCUUGUGAAAUAACAGAAAAUGAAAUAAUUCAGUGUAUGGGUGAUGACUGUAUGGCCUUUUUCCUCCCUAAGAAACUUAAAAAGUUGAAUGAAAAUAAUGUUGACCUUGUGAUAUUAUAAAAACUAUGACUAAUUUUAAAUAUAUCUCAAAUUUUGGGAAGUAUUAUAGAAUCAGUAACAUGUAGAAGUGUUGUAUAUUAGCCAACUUAAAUUUGACUAGAAUCCUAUCCUCUUAAAGUCCUUGGGAUAAAUCUCAAUCAUUUGAUAAUGAUAACUUACCUCUUACAGAAGUAUUUCUAAAGAAGUAAGAAACAUUUUAAACUAAAAACAGUGGACUACCCCUCCAUCUGAUAAUGGCAAGUUGAAAUAAAAGGCUAAUGUUGGAGUAAAAAAGAUAUGAAUGUUAACAUUAUAGGAGGAUAAAACAAAUGCCUGUUUAAGGGACAAAAUAUAGUGACGACAGGACACUGCUGGCUCACACCAGAAGGAAGGAAGUGAUGCCUGGAGAAGUUGUUUGAAAUUGUGGCAUGAAGCUAAGGUUUUCAUAGGGCCUGUGCUUCUUUGUUUCUUUCCAUGGGGAUAAGCCAGUUUAAAUGCAAUUUAUAAAAUAAAAUCUGUAUCUUCACUUAGCAUCAUGGCCAUAAGGGAACUUCAAAAUGGUAAACUAAGUUUCCAGGUAUUAUGACAUGUUCACAUAUAUUGACACCUUUAAAUUUGGCCUUAAUUAAGCUUCUACAAUAUGCAGGGACAGGAGGAAGCUGAGGUAGUGUGGAUAAGGCAGUCCAGAAGAACCUAUCCUCAAAUCAGCAACCACCGAACUCUAGCGUCUACUAAAGCACCAGCCCCCUAGCAGGAAUAUCAGCCUGGCUGCCUGCUAAUAAUCACCGAGAGAGUUUGUUCACAAAAAAGUCUUAUUCGACCAGUCUAAUGAGGGCUCACAUAAGCUGCUUCUUUGAAAAGUUCCCCAGGAGGUUCUGAUCCAUAGAGGAAUUGAAACCACUAAAUUAGUCUUUGCAGAAAUAACUGGCCAACGCCAGCAUUAGCGUCAUUAAGUCUCUGCAGUUCUCUGGCUGGUUUUCCAGACUUCCGGUCGGUGACUCUUGUUAAUGUAGAAGGGACUGAAAAGCACAAAUUCAAAGACCCCCUCAAAUUUGUCCCAGUGCCUCAUCCAUUACAAGCAGCAGAGAACGUAUCCCUGAUCCACUAUCUUCUCUUUCCUGAUCCCUGAAGACGUAAUUUUGCUUUUCGUAAUUUGUUCACAUAUUCGAAGGCUCUCUGCUCCUACUUAUGGUUGCAUAACAUUCCCUGGUUGAGAAAAGAAGAAAAAGAUCAAAGGAAGAGAUUUAUUCCCAGACAUGUUCCAGGGUUUAAUUAAAGUAGAAUGAUGAUUAUGAAUAAAAGGAGAGCCUAGAACUCUUUGUUCUUGGCAAUACAAUAUGACAGUAAUCAUGGCCUUUCUCUGCAGUGCAUUGUGUGACCAAAGAAAUGCACGGGUAAGACAUCCACGCUGCAAGUGGUCUCAAUGUUGAUAACUCUUAAAUAGCUGAUUUAAGAAACACGCAUGUACCAUUUAACCACGUAUAUUCCCCCACGUAACUGUGCAAACCCAAUUUUGUUCUUGUUCUUUCAAAGGUUUGUGUUUUGUCAUAUUUAAGAAAUGACUUAUUUAGAAACAUACUACAUGACUAAAGUCAAUGUGGCCAGGGUAAAAAUGUUAAGCAGAAGGUAUUAGAUUAAGAGUAAUCAGUAACAGCAUUAUUAAAGGAGCUGAUGUUUAAGGCAAAGUGUUGUAUCUUCUAGGAUCCUCAAUGGAAAAAGAAAAGAUGAGAAAUUGAGUGAUGAAUGGAAAUAAAUAGACUUUUUUAAAGUCUGGUAAUGAUUCCUUUCAAAUAAAUAAAUGAGAGAAUGUGCUAGGUAAUAAUAAUAAUAACUUUACAUCUUAGAGGCUUAUAAAAACAAUGAUUGAUUUCUCUCUCAUAGCACAUGUGCGUUAUGGGUGAGCUGAGACCCCCUCAGCACUGUCCUCACUCAGGCUAACAACAUUUAUUCUGUGGAGUAUUGCUGGUAACUACAGCAGAGAAAAUGAGAGGGCAUGGCAAAUUGUGCCCUGGUAUGUGAAAGCUUCCAUCCUGAACUGAUAGAAUUCAGCUAACGUAAUGUUGGUCAAAGUAACUUCUAGUUGAACAGGAAGUAUAUUCUGAUCCAUGUGCCCAAAAGGGAGGAAAAUUGAAUAUUUGAUGAACAGCACUAAUGACUACAACAGUCUGCCCUUCUAGUCACUAAAUAUUUGAGUUCUUUUCCCUCUAAACGAAAAAACAUACUAGCUCACUUCCCAAGCAAAGUCCCGUUACACCAAGGCUCUACUUCAAUGUCCAUGAUCUCCAAGUGAUGCCAAGUGUCUAAUCAUCCACACAUCUCCUUGUCUGGAGGUCUAUGUACCAAACAGACAAGUGUCAUUCACCACCAACCCUCCCAACUGCCAACCCCAACUGCAAUAGUAGAACAGGGACAGAUCCCUAUCAUACAAGAUGAUAAAUGGGAAACACAACCGACACACUGGUCUAUAGAAAUUCUGAAAUCAUGCUAGACAAAUGUCAUGAGGGGCCCUUUGCUGGGAGAGUUUUUUGAUUAGACUAAUUCUGAUUCCUAGAAGGGUCCCUACUUCUAACUUUUCUCCAUGAUUCUUGCCUACUCCUUCUGAUUGUUUAUUUCUUUUUUAUUCUCCUCCUUGGUCUCAUCUGACCUGGAAAUGAGAUUCCGAUGCUAUGUCCUCAUUGGAGGCUAAGCAACUUUCUCAGUUGGCUCCCCAGCAUCCUAGAAAGUUAGGGACCAAGGGUCAUUUUAAUUCUUGGACAGGCAUAUAUAUAUUUUUGUCCAUGCUCAUGAUUUCUUCAGCAGUAAACUCUCUUAAAACCUUAGCAGCUUUGAAAAUCUUUGACUUAGUCAGUUACAUGAGCCAAUAGCCACAUCCAGAAUUCUUUGUAGACAUAUUUCUUAGAUUUACAGUAUUUCUUUGCUUCCUGUCCCAUGCUUUCUCUUUCUUAACCUAAUUAUAGGACUUGGACCAAUCAGGCUGAGGUGGGAGAGCCAUACCUUUAAUCUCUUAUCCCUGAGCUAUUUUAUCCAAUUGAAAGGCUUUACUUGUGUGGUAGCUUAAUCCAUUCAAAGAGUUUUAAUAAUGGGAAUAAACAGCUUUAGCCUUGAUUUGAUCCUUGCCUCGAGGCUAAGUUUUAAUCAGCCUUUGUUGCUCAAGGGAGGUUUUUUUCCCAACCCCACAAGUCCAUGAAUUUAUAGACUCUCUCUAUUUUGUUUUGUCACAGCUUUCCAUUGAGUUUUAUUAAUGGUCAUGGGAAUAUUAAGAGUUAUUCCAAAGAAUACUCUGGAUUCCAGAAUAGAACGCCGUAUCCACUUUGUAUAGCAGCAACCAACUUCCUGUUACUAACAGAGAUCAGUCUCUGCCAGUUUGUUUAGUAGUAUGAGGAGUUUAAAUUGACUCAGUCGCAGCUUCUACAUUAGUGAAACUACAGCUUAACCUCUUUGGAAAGGUUGUGGGUCCAAGGUUGUGGGGACAGGAAGCAAAUAUUUUCUAAAUUCCUUAGUCAGAAAAAUGUUGUAUGGAAUACCACGAUGGAGAAUUCUUUAAAGGGGUCAUGAUGCUAGCAGAAGCUGUGCAGACCAGGAAAUCAAAUCUCUAUCUGUGAAUUGUAACUGCUCCCAUGAGGACAAAUUGCUGCCCUACAUGGCAGAAGGGAGCCAAAGUAAUCAACUGGCCACCAGAUGGUUGGAUAGUAACCAACUUCUCCUCUUCUCCUAAUCAGUCCAAAGAAUGGUGCCAGACUGGACGCUCUGUGUUGCUAUCUUCUAUUAUUAGCCAUACAUAACAAAAUCUUCCAUAUUAGCCAUGAGUAGGGGAAUUUUAUGCUAUUAAGCCUAUUUAUUCAUUGAGCAUCACUCUUCUGGCUAGAGAGAGAGUUUACCUCAUAUCUAGAAAAUGAGUUUCUCUUGGUCAUUUGACUAUGGACAGCAUGCUCUGCAGUGGAUGCCUCUUACUGGGCAUUCAUAUAACACACAGGCAUCUAUACACUCUGUGCCUAUUCCAAGAGACACAACACAACACCCUUUCGAAAGAUCACUUUGUCACCAAUCUUAUUCUUUUCAACUGACCAAACCAUUACCCAACAUUCCUUAUAAGGUGUAAUUCAUACCUCAAAUUAUUUUUCCUCCAAAACAAUGUGGACAACCAGAUAUAUGCCCCAAAUUAUUCCUCUUUGGAAAAUUGCAUUUCACAGCCAUCUGUCAAGGACACUUCUAAAUGGUCUAUAAUACUUGACAUCCACUUCUAUCCAAUGAUAACUUAUGCAGUUCCACCAAAGAAAAAAAAGCCUGACUUUUUUUCCUUUUCAGAUAAUGAGUCAUACUGGUCAUGAGGAAUUUCCUACGAAGUCACAGAUGUGAGUUGAGGAAAAGACCACAAAGCGGCAAGAGUUGGUCUGGACACCCGUUCAUGCAAUUUUCUCAUAUUUUAUGAACCUGUGUGAGACUGUCUCAUAUAGAGCAUUCUCAUUUAGAAAUGGAAUGCUGAUACUUGUGCUCAGCCUUAUGGUUUGCUGAAUCAUAUAAUACCCAGUAGGCAGCUUAGAAGGUAUUGCUUGAUCAAAAUCAUUGGCAAAGAAUCUAGCAUGGUGGAUAGAAAUCUCCUGAAAUCACCAUAGAAGUAAUUCACAACCUUUCACCCAGUUUCUAGAAUUGAGCUAGUUCGUGGACCCAGAGUCCAUUGAUUAAAGGAGAGACACUCUCCCUUUGAGGAGGGAUCCCACAGCACACCUCAAACAAGUGCCCUAAAUUUUCUUCUAUGCUUUUACAAGAGAGACAAUAGACAUUUACCAGGGUAGCUGUGAUCUAGGAAAUGGUAAGUACCCAGAUCUGCCAGGAGUUUCUCGAUUCGCUUUGAGUUUACAUUAAUCCCUAAUGAUUCAAUUCAUCGCCAAGGUCAAUAGGUUGUAAGGAGUGGGGAAGAGACUGGUGACUUUGGAAGUCAAGUGGCAGUGUAGCUUUGGGUAGAAGCCAUCUCACGAUGGGUUCUGUGAGCCCAUGGAAACAUCGUAUCUUUGUUUCUUUUCCAGUUUCAGAAUGCAGAGUUGGAAUAGAUAUAAUCAGCAUGUGACAGAAUUCCCACAUUGUCUCCUUAUCAUGUAGAGAAGAGUUAUCUUUGAAGCAAGAAACAAUGGAAGCUUUUAUAAUUCAAGGGUUAAAGGGAGAAAUGGAGGAAAUAGUUUUCUCAGAGGCCAAUAAAAACUAGAACCACGCUGCAGGGGCUGGAGGCAUGGAGGGAACAAAGCAGGGAAGGAUAAGGGAAAAAGACUCUUGGUUCCAGCACUCCAGUCCCCUGCAGUGGUGUCCUCGAUUGUGUGCCGACCAGAACUAGCCAGUAAUGAGCCUUGUUCCUCCAGUCUACACAGUUUAGCUCCCUAGGCACAAAAGAAGGUAAAGAAUGAUGGAAAUUGGAUAGGGUUGGUCACAAGAAAAAUAAUAAGCAAAACAACCAGAAGAAUUUAAAAAAACUGAACAAAAAAAAAAAAAACUGAAGGAAAAAGCUAGAACAGUAUUUUCUGGAAGAAGUGUUUUACUGGAGAAAGAAAGACACACUAAAUACAUGUUGUUAAUGUUGACAAUUGAUGUGGGAUCUCCUGAGAGAGAGAAAAUGAUCUAUGUUUUUAAAUGAACUUGACAUUAAUUAAACAGAAAUAAACCAAGUUCAUAUUAUGUCAGAGAUUGUGUAGUUUGAGGUUGGUGUAUAAACGUGUUCUUGGAUCAAGUAUUAUAAAAAUAUGGAUUGUAGUUGAGCAGAGUGUUUUGUUUUGUUUUGUUUUUGCUAUUAGAAUUUAUUGAACAAAAUGAAAACUGUGGUGCAAUUUAUGUCAGAUGUAUGUGUAGCAUACCUUCUUUUUAAAAUAGAUUUAUCCAUUCCUCAGGCCUGUAGUUGGUGUGCCUUGUGUGAGCACCUGUAUAUGUUUGUAUGUGUUUUAUUUAAUCAUUCUUAAGUGAGGCAUUUUAUUCUGAAUUUUAGAGUAUGAGUUAGGGACUACACUUUUAGAAAAUGCCCUCCAUCUCUUAUUUUUACUGCUGAUUUGCCUUGUAAGUUUGUUAAGGCAAUUUUUAAAUUGUAUUUAUUUAUUUUUUGGUGAGGAAGAUUGGCCCUGAGCUAUCAGCUGUUACCAAACUUCCUCUUUUUGCUUGAGGAAGAUUGUUGCUGAGCUAACAUCUGUGGCAAUCUUCCUCUACUUUAUGUGGGAUGCUGCCACAGCAUGGCUUCAUGCGUGGUGUGUAGGUCCACACCCAGGAUCUGAACCCACAAACCCCGGGCCACCAAAGCGGGAGCCGAAGAACUUAACCACUACACCACUGGGCUGACCCCAAGGCAUUUUUGAUUUAUUUGAGACAGCUUGUAGAGUAGAAGCCUGCCUACAAUUCCACGUUGGCCAAAAUUUUGAUUUGAAAACAUCUAGUGAUGUAAGUUUUUGCUUGGGUGUAGUUUCUUUCUCUCCUUGGUUGGACUUAGCUGGUAACUUUUAAAUUAAACUUUCUUUGGUCUACUCUCUUAUAAAACAGAAAAGGUAAUACCCUGAAGGAAAGAUUCUUGCUUUUUUUCAAGCAGAGGAACGAUUUCUAGUUUAUUUAAUUUGCUUAUUUUUUAUUAUAGCUGAAUACCCCUUCUCUUUUAAAGUCUUCCUUUAUUUUCUAUGUCAGCUGUGCAAGAACAAGUUUGGGACAACAAAAUUCUUAAAAUAAAGCCACAGUUCUCAUUUACAGUCACAUGCCCUAAAACACUCCUGGCUUCAGUGUUCAGAGAUGUAGAAGUUAAAAGGACCAGGAAGUGUGCUUUCUCGACACAUAAAGUACAAGAACAGAACUGUUAAUAAACACUUCUAUAUCUGUAAAGCCACUCAAAGCUUAAUUUAUUUUAGUAUAAAUCAUAUAGAGAUAAUCUUUACAUUUUUGUGAUUUACAAGGCAGGGGAAAGAGGAUCAUGGUGAUGUUUUGGUCAAAUGUAAUCUCUGGGAGUCUAUAUCAAACUAAAAUAAAUGUGUUUCCAGCCAGGAAAGCUCUUAAAUUUUUCCCGUCCUGGGAGUUCACGUUCAAGUUGUGUCUUGAGCAGAGACUGACUGGAAUCAGAGUAACUGUUAUAUUUUGGUCUAAGGGUGAGUCCCCAGAUGCCCAAACAAUAAACCUGACAGUGUCUACAGAACAUUCUGUAGAAGUUAGGUAGUUUACUAUGAAGAACAGAGAAAACAUUCCAGAGUUUUCCCAUGAGUUUGACCAAAGCUUCCUGGGGCACAGAGAGAACUCAGCAUGCCUUUACUUCUUAGUUAAAAACAUAUGGGAUAAGAAUUUUGAGAAAAGCUUCUGGUGACAGAGUUUGUAGCAAAGUGAGAAUUGGAUCUGAAGUCAGAAGAUCCAGGUUUAAAUGAGGUCAUGCCCUUAACAGCUGUUCCCAAGUCUCCAAGACUUAUUUUCCUACAUGUGGAAAAGAGGACCUGUCUGACAGUUUGCUUAUUUUGGGUUAUGAUUAAAAAUAAUAAGCCGUUUGAGAAAUGCAUUAUAAACUAAAUAUAAGUGCUAAAUGUUUUUGUUCAUAAACUUAGAGAAGUAACAAAGGGUCAGACUUUGCGUGGGCAAUGCUUAGCGUUUACAGAUGAACAGAGACUCAAGAGGUUAACUAAACUACAUUGUUUCGGGUUACGCAGAAGGAAAGAAAAAUUAAAAACUAAAGUUUCCGGAAAAUCAGAUUUCUAUAAAACUUAGGGAGAUAUGAGAGGAUUGUAGAUGUGUUUUUCAAAACAAGGUCUGUGGAAGCCUUGCCUCAGAAUAUGUGGAUAUUUGUUGAAAACGCAUAUUUAUGGGUUUCACCCAAACCUGAGUCAGAGCCAUUGGGAAUAGGCUCAUUUUAUACAAACGUUCAAGUGAAUCAUGUGCACUUGAAUCACUGAAAAUGGCUCGUUUAUAGACUGUUGAAGUGAAGUCAGAACAUCUGGCUCUGAUGAUUGAAUAUCUGCAUGUCCUUGGACGUGGACCGUCUUGGCUUCUGUAUCUUUAAAGGAAGGUUAAGGUUGUUGCCAUUUACCAGUCUGAUGUUAUACAGGUGACAAUGUGGAAAUAAAGUAAUCACACACAGUGUACAGAAAAAAGGGCUCACCUGACAAAUGCCUGUCCUCGCAGCGCUGAGCUUACGACCACCCCUCAGCAGAGCGCAGCGCGCAUCCCUCUCCGUGCCUAGGCCACAGCACAAGAAGAAAGUAUCUGAGGAGGAAUCUCCUAAGUGGGAGAGAUAUACACAUUGCCUACAGGGCAUCUACUGUUGUAUGAUGGAAACACCAUGGUUUAAAAAUUCUUAUUUGAUUUAUUUUCCAGAAAAAAAAAAUGCAAUCUUCCUAGGCCUUCUAAAAAUUGUGCUGGCACCUGAGAGAGCACCUGGGACCGGAAGGUGGAUCUUUCCGUGAGCUCUGCCACAGGCUUGUAUUGUUACCUCUCCCUGACCAUUGUGAAACAGUGCACAUCAAACGAAUGAUUUUGUGACUUUCCCCAUCAAAGUGUUUGGUAGCAUAUGGGGAGGGGAAGGAUAGAAAGUAGGAGAAAACACCAAUACCAGUGUGGUGAGAUCGACUCAGCUUUGCUGUGAAUAAGGGCUCAAUUCCUAUUAAGGACUUAUUGGCUGUAGGGCCUUGGGAAAGCUACUUAAUAUUCCUGAAUUUCAGUUCUCUUAUUAGUUAAAUUUGAGGCAAAAGCUCAUACUUUGCUGGGUUCAAGUGAGAUUGAAAUGAGAUAAUGUAUAUAAAUUUGCCUGAUACAGAGCAAGUUAUAUGUAGAAAUUUCGUUUCUUCGCAACCUUGCUGAAGACACCCAUCCUUUCCUGCCCUUCCCCGCAUCCCUCUUGUUGUUAGAUUAACUUAAAUUUAACGGACAUAUUUAGUACCGAUGACACACAAACAGACAUGUACUAAUGUCUCCCAGUUCUCCGACAACUGCUGAAGAACUUCACCUGGAUUUCAUGUAGGGACUUCACUGUGAAGUUAGUAAUGAUAGAGUCACAACUGAGUGAGACCCUGGUAGCAUCUCACAUGUGAUGUUGAACAAACUGAUCCUGUAAGGAAGGAAUUCAGAGCCUCACUUUACAGAUGGAAUCAUGGCUCAGGGAGGUACACAGGAGCACCAAGGCCACAAAUCUCCUGCACUGCAGAGCUGGGGUCUGAACUCAACUCUGUCUUCCUCCAAAAUGUAUCCUUCCAAUAGACUGCAUCCAUGCCCCGUCUAAAACCAGGUUGAAAAUCUUUCUCCCUCAAGCCUACUCCUUUCUCUCUAUUUUCUAUUUCAGAGAGUGGAAUCACAAUUCACCUAGCCAUCCAUGGAGGAAAUUUGGGAAUUUUCCUUGAAACUGACUUUUUCUCAUCUCCCACUUCCCAUCAGUAGCUAAGCCUUCUUCAUUUACAUUCUUCAUAUUUGUAAAGUUUGCUCUCUCAUAUCCUCAGACACAUAACUUCUACUCUAGGAAGUUUAAGGUCUCACUGUCUCAAACUCGGAGGGCAAAGAUAAAUCAUUUCUCUUCGUCCAGGGAGAGAUUUCAUGAUUCUAUCUAUGUCAAAACUUCCAGAAUGAUCUUUCUAAAACGCACAUGUAGAUUUGGUCAUAUCCCUGUUUCCCACGUGGCCGUGGUUCCUCACACCUGUCCAAGCAGCCUCAGCUCCUGACAUUUUACUUUUAUAAUUUUUGCAACCUCCUGUGCCAUAUGCCAUUUCCACCUGCAUGCCUUUGAUGACGCCACUUUCCAUGCCUGACAAGAACACUCUUCCUUGUUCCCCUGGCAAAUACUGCCACAGACUCAAGACCCAGUUAAAUGCUGCAUCCUCUACGGACACUGGGUUAAUCUCCAAUUAGAACCACCCGCCCCUCCGCCAUGCUGUCCUGCACCGUGGAGGGGGCUGUGUCAUAGCUUGCUUGUUAAAUGUCCCCUCUCCUGAUGGACUGUACCUUCCUUGAAGUCAGGCAUGGGAAUUUUGUUUGUCUUUGAUUUCUGACAGCCAGUCCGAUGCUAGCAAUUAAUACAGGCACUUAGUAAGUGUUUAUUGAAAAAAUAAAUAAAUGAACGAGUGAAUAGUACACUGUUUUGUACUAGGAUUAGGUAGGCGAGGGGCCCGAGGCAUCAGGCAGCAUGUGUAAUACUACAAGGAUAAGACAAGGUCUCUGAUACAGACAGUCUGUGUAAGCAGUUGAACAAUAGGUCAAGUUUAACUGAUGAGUUAAGUCUUAUCUUCCUUUGUUCUUCACUAUUAUUCUGUGGAAACGAGAGAGCCUAUUUACCUGAAUAAGUCAAAUUCCCUUUGAUCCUUUCUUUGUGACUGUGAAAAUUGUAAAUGGCCAGAGCUCUGAAAGGGAACCAAGGAUUUCUACAAAUUCUCUUGGAGAUGCAUUCUCCCAGCUUCGUGGAAGAACUUGAGGAUAUCACCCCAAAUGUUUACCUCACGUAUCUCUGCCUGGAAAAGCCAGCUUGGAAAAUUGAGGAGCUAGAAUGUCAAACUGAGAAGCCAGAAGAAAUCCGGGAGUCUCUGUAGGGCCAGGUGUUCUCCUGACUGUGCUUCUUUUCUGAACAUCAAACUGUGCGUUGGGCCAGCCCUCAGGAUUACCAGGGACCAAGCCAAGCCAGUGGAAGUCAGUUGUGGGACAUUUGCUAAAGCUAUUGAGAAAACACCUCUCUUGUUGCUAGACUUGAAAUGAGGAAGAUGAAAGCUGGAAUAUCUGUGUUCCCAAAUGGAUAAUACCUGUCUGAGUGAAGCUGCAACCGAAAAAAUCAGAGCUGUGAAACGGAAAGGCUGACUACAGAUGUCCUUAUUUGAGCCACUGGAGCUCUUAAUGUCCAAAGCCAAUGUUAUCAUAUCAUUCUGUUACCUGAGCUUAUAUCAAUGUUUCCAUCCCCCCCACUACAUUUUUUAACUAGUUUUUUUUAACUUAUCCCAGUUUGAGUUUUUCAUCAGUUAUAAUUAAGAGUCUGGAUUAAAUGAUGGCAAAAAAUAAAUUUCUUUCAUAUGUUUCUGGAAGGAUUGUGAAUUGGUAGAUCCUUGUAAGAAAUCAAGAGCCUUUACUAUGUUCAUACUUGCUUAUUUUUUUCUCAUUUGGAAAUCCAUCCUACAGGAAUUAUCCCAAAUAUGGAAAAGCUUUUAUGACAAAGAAAACAACAAACUUAUUAAAUCUAAUUUUCAUUUCUACAGAUCAUUGUAUAUACAGCACUUAGCACAAUGUUUACCAUAAAUUGCUUAUUAAAUCAAUCAACCAAUUAAAUAACAUUAAUAAAAUUGUUUAUCAUAACUUAACCUAAAUGUACACUUUAGGGAAAUGGUUAAUUUUCAUUUAUAUACUUUAUGGUAUAUUAUAUAGUCAUUAAGAUAUUAUAAAGGAUUUGUAACACCAUAGAAAACUAAGUACAGCAUAAUAUUAAAAGAAACAAAUUUAGAAGCUUAUAUAUAAAGCACAAGCGUUAUUUAUUUUAUUGAAGACAUAUUCCAGAAGGAUACUACAAAAUCUUAGUAGAAGAGGGUGAAUAUUUUCUUCCUCCCAAUUUCUUAUGAUUACCAAAAUGUAUUAAUGUGUUAAAAUAUGACUGGUUUAAUAUUGUGAAAAAAAUAGGCACCUAAAAAUAACUGAUUUUAACUAUUUGCUCAAAUCUUUUCAAUUCCAUCAUUUGAUGAUGCCAAGAACCACUAAAUUACCAUGGUUUUCACAAACCUCAUUGUUUUUGCAAGUAGUGAAAAUUUGGCACCAAAAUUCAAGGACAAGGCUAAGUUGACUUAUUAGUCAUAAGGUACUUGCCUUUUUUUUUUUCCACUGAGGCAGAUUUGCCCUGAGCUAACAUCUGUUACCAAGCUUCCUCUCUUUGUAUAUAAGCUGCAGCCACAGUAUAGCCACUGAUAGACAAGUGUGUAGGUCCACGCCUGGGAACCAAACCCAGGCCACCAAAGUAGAGUGUGCCGAACUCAAACACUAGGCCACUGGGCCUGGCCCUUGUUGUUUUUUAAUGGUUGUUUCUGACUCUUCCCAAUAUUUGUGAAAUCAAACAGAAACAGAGAUUGUCACAUAGGCCAGCAAGAGUGUCAUGUGUUUUCUUGGAUGUGAUCCUUUUAGUUGUUCCAAAUCAUCAAGAAUGGUGCCCAUCAUUUCCAUGUUCUCUGGCCUAACUGUUGACUCCAUGCUGACCAGGAAUCCUUCUGUGUUUCCCUAGACAAUUUCCUCUCCUCUUCUUUCUAGCAGCCAUGUCUAGCCUCUGCUUACUAAUCCAGCUUUAUCUUACUUAUCCAAUGCCACCGCAUUGCUCCCUUGCUCCCCUGACCUCGUGCUAAACCUGCUCUAUGAUGCAUCCAUAAGAAACUUCAUCCGGUUCCCCAUCCCUCUGCUUUCUUGCUUUCAGAGCACUUCUCUUUCUCUGCCUAUGUUUACCUGGAGAAACGCCCCCUUAUUUUUCAGUUUUCAAGUAGGGUAUCUCUUCUUUAAAACAGCCUUCUUUGACCCCUAAGAUGGGUCAGUUGCCCUCACCAUAGUUUCUCGCAGGUCCUCGGUCUCCCUGUCCAUAGCACUGACCAUGUGCAAAUGUCUAUGUCCUUGUGGGUUUCCCCACAAGAAUGUAACCCUGUGACCACAGACACCAUCUGUCUGUCUAGUCUGUCUUGUAUGUAGUUACAACACUUAGUGCAGAGCUUGGCACGUAUUAGUAACAGCAUUUAGUAAAAUUAUAAAGAAAAGAUGGAUAUUACACAUUUGUUUAAUAUCACAACCAUUAUUGGAAAACUGAUAACCUACUUUUCUGGAUUCCAAGGUCCAUUCCACUCACUGUGCCACUCUGCUUUCCUUGAUUCCUUUCUCAAGUGGGCUGUUUUCAACUUUUCAAAGUGAAUUAUAUAAUAUUAUGCCAUUUUAUUCUUACCACAGACUUCCAGGAUAGGUCUUCAUUUGUAUCUAUAAGUGGAAAACAAGAGAGAAUGGGCAAAAAAGGCCAAAGGGACAAGAGAAGAAAACAAUAAAACAAUAUGCUCCAACAGCUCAUGUCUUUGGAAAAUCAGUAUUUAAUUGCUAAUCUUACCACCUGGUAGCAGAAGGCUGUGGAAAAAAGUCCUUUAAAUUAAAAAAGAAGCUAUAAUAAACAAAUAUAUUUAUUAAGGAUUUAAAAGUCCUGGAGCAGAAGUUCCAGGGAAGAAUUGACAAAAAUAUUUUAUUUUAAAAGCAUUUUUGUUCUGAUGUUAGUAAAUUGUGGCCAUUUACGAGCUUUUGUAGAAAAUCCAGUGAUGUUCAGAACUAAAAAUAAACCAACACAAAAGAAACAGGAAAACUAAAACUGGAGCUCCUCCGCGCUCAUCGUCUUGGUGCCUUCAGACAUAGGGGUGCUAAGACAAGAGCCUCUAGGCCGAGAAGCCAACUGUCUUGAAAAUUAACAAGGGAUUCAUGAAAAACAGCAGAAAACAGGUGAUAUGGAAAACCUGUAUAAUGAUCCAGCAUUGAAUUAUAACAGAUGCCAUCUCCCCAUGAAAUCAUAGACUGAAAAUAGGAGAGAGAAAAUAACCUUGGAAGAUUUUAAGGAAAACUGACAAUCUUCAGACUCCAUAAUUACAAAAAUAAUCACUUACACUUCAAUCCAACAUGAGUUUAUUUACAAUAGGUUUGGUUACCUCAUUGAAUACAUCGUUUUAAAUCUUUACAUGAGAUAUUUGGCUGGAUCUAUGCCAUUGUAUUUAUACUUCAGGGCAAGAAAAAAAUGUACCAGCUGCAAGAUAUGAUGAAACUAUUUCAUUUAACAUUUACUUUUCAAACAACUUUGAGAAAAUAAUGAUAUAUGUUACUUCAGGGAUUUCUGGUGAGCAGUUAUGAGGUUGAGCUGAGAACAUCAAAUGGUCUGUAAUUGGGUCAUGACCCUAUACGUUCUUCCUUCACUGGAGGAAGUAAAACAAGUUUGAGAUCAAUAUUUACACAGAGAAAAUUUCCUAAAUAUUUGGGGGUUUUUUGCAGUGCUUAAUUUGACCACACAAUGCAUUUUUCAUGUUCUGCAAUUCUGCAAGGAACAUGUAUGAAUCUUCAGAUACUUUUAAAGAAAUAUGUCAUAUUUAAAACAAUCUUUAUCUGAAAUGACUGAUUUCUAUUGCAUACAUUUCAGAGUGUUCAUUGUCAAUAAAUGAAUACAUUGAGUUCUGUUCAUCAUGGAGAUUCAGGAGGUAGUGAGUCAAGGCCUCAAGGAAGCUCUCUGAGUACAGUGUCUAGGCAGAAACGGAUCUUCUUAAAGCACUGCCCACGAAACCACAUAGCUUGAAAAAUCACCAGUUUUAGAGUUAAGUAUCAACCAUUCAUUGACUGAAAUAAGCGAUUGUUUUCAAAUUUAUUGUUUUUGAAAGAAUUCAGACACAUCUAAAAACAUUUUUAUAAGAGCCUAUAUCGGUGGCAAAACUUACCUAGUCAUGUCAGACCUUUUGAUGAUCCAGUUAACAAAUAUUCAUAAGCUAUUAUUAUGUGUUAGGUACUAUGCUAGAAAUAGAAAUAGAAGACAGAGCUUCUGCUCUCAAGGAAUGUACACUUUACUUGGGUAAUAAGGAAGAAAGACAUGAAAAGCUAAACAAAGAUAUGUUUCAUAAUAAUACAAGAAAUUGUAACAAUUGUGAAUUUUCUGGUUAGAAAUAUAACACAAAAACUAGCUCAAUUUAGUUUAAACAAUAAAACUAAGUGAUUGUACCACAUAACUGGAUGGUUGUAAGGCUUCAGUGCUCCAAUGGCUUCAUGAUAGAAUCAAAGACAGUUUCUUUAAGCUUCUGGUGGCAAAGGUGGUCUUCCCUUAUGGUGACAAGAGGGCUGAAGCAAUGCCAGAUGUGGCAUAGCACAUCAUCCAAAAAGAGAAAGAACAGUGGCUUAUUCUGCCUCUCCCAGAAGAAUGAGGAACAUUCUAGUCUAGAAAACCCUCAUAUACCAUUGACCUGAAUUAAGUCAAGGCUAUUUCUGAACCAAUCACUUUGCCCAGAGUAAUAUCAUGCACUGAUUGACUUAGUUGUGGAUUUCCUGAAUUUAUCUCUGUGGCAGGGGUGUUUAAAUCAGCCUAGAGCUCGAUUGAAUCUUGUGUCUCACUCCAUCUCUAAACCACACAGGGAUAUGCAAUGGAAGGGAGGUUGGAGAAAGAACCACCACAAUGCCUACUCCUUUUGUUUCUCCAAUUCUCUCUCUCUCACAUACAUGUACACACACACAUACUCUUGAAUGUACUUUUCAAAAACACCUACAAUUAUAUGAAAAUUAUACUGAAUUAUACUGAAUUAUACUGAACUCCUCCCAAAGGAUAUAUUCAAUUAUACUGAACUCCUCCCAAAGGAUAACCUCAGAAAGUUUUCUCACUGCAUUCAGGUCCAUGUGCAAGAUCUCUUGGUGACAUGUCAUCCUCUUCAUUGGAACGGCUGAAACCCUCUAUGGUCCAAUGAUCUAUGGCUAAAAGAUGUUGUAUCCAUCCCCAGUUUCCCAAAUAUAUAAUCAUCGGGGAAAUGAUAUGGUAAUAUCAAUGAAAAUUCUCAUUUGAAAAAGGGAAAGAAUGGGAAAUAACAUACAGGUGUCAAUAUUCCACAGCACAAAACAUAUGCUGCUGUCCAGAAUGGGCUAGGAUUCCCGUUUCUUUUAAACGGAGUCAGUGCUUUGAUCAGAUACAACAGCUGCCCAGGAGGCCACUUUCUGGGAAGAUCUCUCUUGUCCAUUGUCCUACAUGGCCACAUCAGGGGACAAUUCCCUUCCAAGGAAACACACCACCUUAGCAGUCUAGUGGAAUGAUUUUGGGUUUUUUGGAGAUUGGGUACAGGGAUGAAGAAAUCACUGACUAGUUUCAGCCAAGUUGAGGUUUCUUUGGUAAACCAACACACUUGAAAAUGUAGUCAGCUUUGGUCUAUUUGCUUCUGGUAAAUUCCACAGCCCAGUACAGAGGCAGAGAUUGGGUUUGUCCUCAGUCUGUGAGCCUGAGUUUCUGUCCUCUGUAGUGAUGCUCUGUAGUGACAGCCAUCUGUGCAUAGCCCAUUUCCCUUGGAUGUCCAUUCAAUAGAUUUGACUUCAUGCUGACGUUCACCUCAGAACAAAUGGAAAAAUAGCCAUCUGUGGGCAGGUGCUGGUAAUUUGCCACUUGUCCCCAUACGAUAGCCCAGGCACAUCUUAAGGGUGAGAUUGAAUUCCACUUUUAUCCAUCAAAGAAUGCUUAAUAAAAGAUACCUCAGAGACGCCUGGGAUAUUGGGCUUGUCUUUCAUCCCAGUAUUUUCUUUUUUUGUAAGAAUCCUACCUCUCUGUCCCUGCUCACGUGGACUCUAGCUUAGGGUAAAGCAUUUGACUUUUUCAACUCUGCCAGAUUCCGAGUUACAAAUAUUUUAGGCAUUACAGACUAUUGUUUGAAGCAGAGAACACUUGUUUUAGCAGGGCCAUGUCCUCUUUUCCCUCUCUGACUUCCGACUGACCUGUUUUAGAUUAAUCCUCUUUAGGUUUUUCAGUCUUUUUAUUAGGAGUCAAAAGAAGUAGCCAAUACUCUCAAAUGCUGAGUUUUUCCUAGCAAUUCUCCCACGGCUAGAGCUAAAUCAUGUGAUCCUAGCCUUGACAUCCUACGGCCCACAGUUUACCAAUGCUGGUUUCUCUACCACACAAGAAGGUCUAGAGUCCCACUUCCUUCCACCUACUUCUUCAAGCAAAGCAAAUGCUCACAUUAGGGUUUGUUACCUGGAAGAGCUCACUCCAAUAUUAACGCCAUAUUUCCAACCUCACACUGAGCCAUUUCAUACGGAUUUUCUCAGGGAAGAGCUGACACAAAAAAGAGAAGGUGUUUCAAAAGCCUACCCCUAAAAGGAGCAAGUAGAUGUUGUAUCCAAGACAAUAGAUGUGUGAGAAGCUAGAGAUGAAUAAUUGAACGCAUCCCUUUUGUCCACUUUAUCCCUGAUAAAGUUCUUCUCAACGGGAGAAAGCGAAGAAUGUAGGUGAGAAUCAAAAUGUGGAUAGACAUUUUGGGAAAGGAGUGUGGCUUUCAUGAAUCUUUUUAAGUUUAGAGUAUCUGAAAAUAGAGAUUUUGUGCUUAUAUUCAUAAAAUCUCAGAGUAGAAAAGGUUUGGUACGUUUAGGCUGACGAGCCUGGGAAAGCUGCAUAGAAGUCCCGUGCCCCAGUGGGACGGAAGCUCUAAUAUUCCUGAAGUGGCAUGAAAUAGUAGAGACUCAUCCAGGCCUAGUACCAAAUAGACAACUGAAAGAGCAAAAAAUUCUAGCUUACAUAGGUGAUCACCCAAACUGGAUGCAUUCUCUUAGAAAGGAGAUGGAAUUCUGGAUUUGAAAAAAAAAAAAACACCUUUUUUGUGGGGAGGGGAAGGAGGAACAAUUUUGUAUGUUUUGGGAGGAGAGGGAAGGACAAUUUGAGAUUAAGUUUCUAACCUUUGCCCGAAUCAAGUCUCAUAACAAAAUUAAAUUUGGGUGUAAUGAAGUUACAGUUCCUGAAAGUUAAGUCUGUGGGCUAAGAUCUGUACCUGCUGCAAAAUAAUCAUGCGAGAAAAAGGGUUAGAGACGGCAGUUAAGGUGUGCUGCAUUGAUAGCAAAUAAACCAACUCAGCUGGCACAGAGUACUUACAUUGACAAAUAGUAGAACUUUAUGCUAAAAAGAUAGGUUCCACCUAGGCUGGAAACUCCUGGAGGAUCAACCUGAAAAAUAUUUUAGUCUGGAUGGAAUGAACCAGAGUAGGGAUAGGUCCAAACUAAGAAAUCAACCGGGUAACCAUGCACAGGAUGAUGAGAACAUCAUCACAUAGUAGAACCUCCAAUUUGUCAAAUUUUACAAAUUUGAUAUGUGCAGUGAGAAAAUUUAUUCUUCAUGAAACAUUUAUUCAACAGAUAUUACUCUGAUCUAUAGUUAAGGAAACUGCAGGUCAGAGAAACUUGAAAAGAGAUCGCUCACGCAGAAUCACAUAGUUAAUAGUGAGAAGAGCUGGAAGCAGAAGCCCUAGUUUUAGACAACAACUAAAAUAUUCUUUCCACCACAACCAAAGGCAUAUCUGGCUCCCUGCCGCAACAUCCUUGUAAUUUCAAAGUCACAGUUUGAGUCAAAUAAUGGUGUUUACUUUCUGAUCUUUGGAACCCAGUAUUUCCUGCAAAUGACAUCCGAGUUAGGUUUUUCUCCUUCUGUGCCUCGGUUUCCCGUAAUUGGCUUGUUGACCCUUUGUUGCCAGACCUUUCCAUGAUUGCUAUUAUCUGGAUGUCUCCAGUUUCCUGUUGCUUUUGUCCAAGUUUAUUAUUUUUUCUCCUGUACUAAGGUAAGGCUGGUGGUAUAUACAUUUCUUAGCUUCAAAAUUUGAAAAGGACAAUGCAGAGAAACAUAAAGGAAAUAAUGUGGCUUUCAGUGGAGAUGGGCUUGAAUUCCUUCUCUACUACUUCCAGCUGUCUUAGAAGAGGCGUAUUUUCAGAUUCUGAUUGACUCCUCUAGAGAGCUCCUUGCCUUCCCUUCUCACCACCAGCCUCAUCCACUAGAGGUUGCUCUUAUAUCUAAUCCACGAUUACUCUUGGCAGCACAAUCCCUUCAAACCACACAUUUUGAGUAACAGAAACCCUGAAGACAGCUAAAGGAUGUCAAGAUACUCAAGACAUCUUUUUCAUGACAAAAAUGUAAGUCUCUAUGAUUAUUUUUAUUUUCAUCUCUUCACUGCAAUGUGCUUCCCCUUGACCCAAGACAUGAGUCCCUCCCUCUAUCUUUUAUCCCAGACUCCCCCUUUGCCCCUAGCCCCAAGGAAUCCAAUGGUAAAUAAACUCUCCAACAUCCUUAUUUUCAUAGUUGAGCACACCGUCCACUUCUUGGCCCUAAGUGAAACCUGGCUGACCCUAAGAUAUAGUUUCCCCUGUAGUCAGUGUGAGUGAAAAAACACAAGAUGAAGGAAAGGAUGUUAUAGACACAAGGAUUGCAGAAGCAUAGAUUGUGGGGGAGAGAUGGGGCAUAAAGUUGUAAUAUGUUUACUCUUUGUCUGAGAAAGGAUUGAUAAUAGUCAAAAAGCUGCGCUGGGGAGAGAGGAGAAUGCUAGGGAUAUGUGUGUUUCUCUGCUCGCCUCCUGGUCCUGAGACAUGUGGUGUAUGGGGGAGUGAGCAGCAAACACUUCAAUUAAAUGGAAAUAUAAAGAAAAAAUAAAGGAAAAAAGUGAAAAAGAAAAGUAAAUUUAGAGGCUGGCCCGGUGGUGCAGCAGUCAAGUUUGCACGUUCCACUUUGGCAGCCUGUGGUUUGCCAGUUUGGAUCCCAGGUUCGGACCUACACACUGCUUGUCAAGCCAUGCUGUGGCAGGUGUCUCACAUAUAAAGUAGAGGAAGAUGAGAACGAAUGUUAGCUCAGGGCCAGUCUUGCUCAGCAAAAGGAGGAGGAUAGGAGACAGAUAUUGGCUCAGGGCUAAUCUUCCUCAAAAAAAAAAGUAAAUAUAAACAAAAAAAUAUAAUCGAAAGAUAAAUAUUUUUUAAAAAACUAAUGUCCACUGCAAUAUUCUACAAUCUGUUUCAGAGUUUUGCCCUCUUCCCAACAUUAACCCUGUAACAAAUUUCAACACAAGCAAUGAGCACAGUGUUAGGAAGGAAAGGAAUAAACUAAUGCAGUUGUUGCCCUAAAUUUGGAAAGGUAUGUGCACAUUGCGUCUAUUCAGUGACAUGAUCUUCUUUUGGUGACACCAACCUUCCAGUGAGCCCUGCAGAGUUGAUAGAUAUCUAGUGCAGGAACUCUUAACCUCCAGCACAUAGAGUUGAGUUCCACUAAGUCCAGCAUCAUUAGACCUAGAGAUAUCAAAAUUACAUAAACUCUAUCUAUCAAGGAAGCAAAUAAUGAAGACAGAACUCCAGAAAGAAGGGCUGGACAUUAUUAUAGGGUUGUAAAAAUUAGAAGAUAAUGAAGAGUUAUAAAAGCCCCUAAUCUUGGAGAACAAUAGGAGACAAAUAAAUAUUUGUCAAGAAAGACAUGACUCCAGUCUCCCACGCCUUAAGCAGGGUGCUCACCUCAAUGCUGAUUACAUAUCCUUUAUAAGUUUCCAUUACAAAUCCAGCUAACUUGUUUAAAGUACCUACAUAAGACCUAGCAUAGAGAAAGCACCUGACGCUCAUUAUCUAUUAUGGGUAAUAGUGUUGGUACCAGAAACAGUAACAGGAUAUGUAUUUUCAGUUAAUUAGAAAAAUGGUCAUCAAACUAAAUAUGAUUUGAAUAGUUAUGGGGAGCAAUAUAAUAAUCCAAAGGAAAGCACAGGGAGGUGAUGACAACAAGUAUGAUGAGAAGGUAAGUUGCAAGUGAAGCUGCAUAAAAAUAAGGUUUGGGCUUUAAUCCUUUUGUGAGCUUUACACUAGAGAACGAUUCAUGGGGAGCCCAGCAUUCUUUAAAGGCCAAGGUUAGGGUGAGCAGUUUGUUCUUAAUGACUGUAAUAUACCAAAAGCAUAUAUAUGAAAAUU